GACGGAGGGUGCAAGCGUUGCUCGGAAUCACUGGGCGUAAAGGGUGCGCAGGCGGCCGAGUGUGUGAGGCGUGAAAGCCCGGGGCUUAACCCCGGAAUUGCACCUCAAACUACACGGCUAGAGCAUUGGAGAGGGUAGCAGAAUUCAUGGUGUAGCAGUGAAAUGCGUAGAUAUCAUGAGGAAUACCAGAGGCGAAGGCGGCUACCUGGACAAUUGCUGACGCUCAGGCACGAAAGCGUGGGGAGCAAAAGGG
rnacentral:rRNA from 1 species